UGGGCUAUCGCCAAACGGUAAGGCAACGGACUCUGACUCCGUCAGUUCCUGGUUCGAAUCCAGGUAGCCCAGC
rnacentral:tRNA from 1 species